AAAAAAACUAUUAAUUCCUACUAAGGUACUAAGUUCCUCUAUCAUCACUUUACAGAAACCCAAUUACCCAUCAAAUUUUCAUCAAAAAAUCCCAUCAGCCCUCGUCAAAAAUAACCUAAUAUUGAAAUUCUAUUGUACUAUGGCAUCCAUCUACGAGUACUGCGUGUGGCAGGAUUCUUCCAACACCCACAAUUCUUUGCCAGUCGACAAUUCCUCAAACCCUCCCACUACUGAUAGCGACGACAUACUCGACAUCCAUCUCCACUUCCACCAUCUUCUUGAAAUACAUUACCCUGAAUAUGCUUCCAUUCCCUUGACCACAACCCGCAUAUCAUACCCUCUUCCACGCAACCUAUUCUUGUCUCAAGACUCUGGCUCAGUUGUUGUGGACGCUCUUCUUUCCACCACUGGUGUAUCAAGAGACUUUAUUGACUCCGUCAUUCCUGAUGUUUCUUCGUUCGCUUUCGACAUGGUUACUCAUCCAUACAACAGCAAGGUUAGGGUACUAACCAUGGGUUUGGCUAUCUUUGUUGUGACUCCUUACGAUGAUCGCCAAGAGAUAGAUCGUGCUUUAAGUGAAGCAAUGCAAGAAAAUCCAAGAUUUGAGCCCUCGAGUAAAUCUUGCAUUGAGGGUUUAAAGAGGGUUAAGCUUGUUAACGAUUCCACCACGAUGAUGAAGAGAUGCGCGAUAUGUUUGAAGAAACAAAUGAUUGGUCAAGAGGUAAUAUGCUUGCCUUGUGGGCAUGUUUUCCAUGGAGAUUGUAUUGUUAGGUGGCUAGAGACAAGCCAUUCGUGCCCUUUAUGCAGGUUUUCGAUGUCCUUUUAGUCAUUGAUCAAUUGUAAUUAAUUUCUAAUAUUGCAAUUGGAUCUCUAAG
rnacentral:misc_RNA from 1 species